UACGAACCGUCCAAACGUUACUCGGAAUCACUGGGCUUAAAGGGUGCGUAGGCCGCGCGGAGGGUGGGAUGUGAAAUCCCCCGGCUCAACCGGGGAAUAGCGUCCCAAACCGCCGUGCUCGAGGGAGACAGAGGUGAGCGGAACUGAUGGUGGAGCGGCGAAAUGCGUUGAUAUCAUCAGGAACACCAGUGGCGAAGGCGGCUCACCGGGUCUUUCCUAACGCUGAGGCACGAAAGCUAGGGGAGCGAACGGG
rnacentral:rRNA from 1 species